rnacentral:lncRNA from 1 species
AGCCGGAGGAGCGGCGCUGGGAUUGGGGGGCGCUGCGGACCCCCGCGGGGCGGCUGAUGGCGGCCGAGACGGAGGCGCUGCGUUCGUGCAGCGGAGCGGUGGUGGCCGCCGUGGUGGCGCUGAUGGCCAUCGUGGCGUCGCGCAGCGUCAUGGCCGCCGUCACCUUCAGCCUGGCCCUGGGGCUGGCGCUGCUCUACGCCUACGACGCCUUCGGCACCAUCCGCACCCGCCUGGCGCCGCCCCACGACCCACAACUGAACGGGACCUGAGAGAGGGAACUCCGACAUCCGGACCCACAACUCUGCCCCAUAGCGUCCCAUAGAUCCCUCCUGCCCCAUAGAUCUGUGCUGCCCCAUAGAUCCACCCCAUAGAUCUGUCCUAUAGAUGCGUGCCCCAUAGCUCUGCCCCAUAGAUCUGUGCUGCCCCAUGGAUCCACCCCAUAGAUGUGCCCUAUAAAUGUGUGCCCCAUAGAUCUGUGCUACCCCAUAGAUCCACCCUAUAGAUGUGUGCCCCAUAGCUCUGCCCCAUAGAUGAUCUGUACUGCCCCAUGGAUCUGUGCUGCCCUAUAGAUCCACCCCAUAGAUCCGCCCCAUAGAUUGUGCCCCAUAGAUGAUCUGUGCCCCAUAGAUCCGUGCUGCCCCAUAGAUCCACCCCAUAGAUCCGCCCCAUAGGUUUGUGCCCCAUAGAUGAGUGCCAUUAAUUAAAGACCGU